rnacentral:rRNA from 1 species
GAUUAACGCUGGCGGCGUGCAUAACACAUGCAAGUCGAACGAUGAAACUUAACUGAUUUCUUCGGAAUGAUUUUAAGUGGAUUAGUGGCGGACGGGUGAGUAACGCGUGAGUAACCUGCCUUGGAGAAGGGGAUAGCCUUUUGAAACGAAGAAUAAUACCCUAUGAUAUGAUAAUAUCUCAUGAUAUUAUCAUCAAAGAUUUAUCGCUCUAAGAUGGACUUGCGUCUGAUUAGUUAGUUGGUGAGGUAACAGCUCACCAAGGCAGCGAUCAGUAGCCGGCUUGGGGACAUGUACGGCCACCCUGGGACUGAGACACGGCCCAGACUCCUACGGGAGGCAGCAGUGGUGAAUUUUGCACAAUGGGGGAAACCCUGAUGCAGCGACGCCGCGUGAUUUAGAAGGCCUUCGGGUUGUAAAAAUCUUUUGUAUGGGAAGAAAAUGACAGUACCAUACGAAUAAGGACCGGCUAAUUACGUG